GGCUCCCCGGCCUGGCGGGCCGCGCGGCGCUGCUUCCGCGCCGCUCCCGCGCCCGAGCGGGCCCCUGCGCUGCCCGCCUGCGCGCUCCGCUGCCGCCCGGCCAGGCUGGGCGCGGGCGUGGACGCCGGGAGCCGAGCGAGGGCGGUGGGGCGCUCAGGCGCGGCGGCGGCCCGGCCCAGCCCUGCGCGCCGCCAUGUUGGCCUCCUCCUCCGCCUGCGCCUCCGCCUCCGCCUCCUCCGGCCCGCGGGGCCGCGCCUCCGCUCCCGGAAGCGGCCCGGGCCGCCCCAGCAGCCGGAGUGAAUUUUCCCUGGCGCCCCGUGACUCAUGGGCAGAACUAUCCCCUGGGCGUGCAGAUUCCUUCCCUUCCCUCCUCUUUGGAAGGCCUUUCCCUUGUAGCAGAGGAACUCUGAGGUCCCUCUGUCACUGCAGAAUACCCAGGAGGCAGCAGUGGAGAGGACAAGAACACCCAGGAGCCCCGACCGGAAGGAGCCCACGAGCACAGUGUGCUGGGGCCAAGGCAGAGCCGGUCAAGCUGCCUUCCUUCAGGAGCAGUUGGUCUGUGCUCAGGACGAAGAGGUUUGCAAGGAAUCACUUGAGGUGUGGCAGGCUGAACAGCCACCCGGAAGGUGUCCCUGUCUAAUCCCCAGGACCCGAGACUGUAUGACCUUACAUUGCGAAGGGAGAUUUGCAGAUGUGAUUAAGUUAACCAUCUUGAGAUGGGAGGCUAUCCUGGUGGGAUAACCAGUGUUCUCACAAGCCACAAGCCUUAAAAGCCAGAAGAGGGAGCAGAGGGUUGGAUCAGAGAGGGAGAUAGAGGAAGGAGGCAGAGUCAGGGGGCACUCUAAGACCCUAGGCUGCUGAGGAGGAGGGGCCACAAGCCCCGGCUGAGGGCAGCCUGUAGAAACUGGAAAAGAGUUUUCCUCUAGAGCUUUGCAAAGGAACUCAGCCCUGCCGACACCUUGACUUUAGCCUGCUGAAGCCCAUUUGGGACUUCUGACCCCCAGAUCUGUUAGACCCUAAAUUGGUGGUGUUAGCCACUAAUAAGUUUGUAGUAAUUUGCUCCAGCAACAAUCUGAAACUAAUACAUAAAGAAUGCCUGAAAUGCCUCCCCUGGGAGGCAUCAUUGCUCGUCCGCCUAAUGGCCAUUUCUAACAACCCUCCUUCCUUGCCUUCUUCCCAAGUACUAAUACUCCCAGCCUCUUUUGCACUCAGGGAUGAUCAGGAGACCCACGGAGUUAUAAGGAAAAGCCAGCUGGGGAAAGAGUCUCUUUCGGAUAAAAGGAGGGGAGGCAGCAGAGACCCAGAUUUUGAGAUCCUUCCUCAGGGGCACUGAAAGAGGCAGGGUGCUGCCAUGGCCCCAGGUUUCCUGAUUUCUUCUUUUUUUUUUUUUUUAACCCCUCAUAGAUCACACAAUGUCAAGACUGGUAAAAAUCCUUAGAAAUUAUCUAGCUCAGGGAUGGCAAGUAGGUUUUACUUAUUUUAUGUGCCAGUUCUGGCCUCUGGUGACAAUGGCCUGAAGCACUGGAUUGUGUCCUACUUCCUGGGAAAGGAUGCUGAGAUUGAUUAGUAAUGUCUGCAUGGGCUUUGGUGAGUGAGCUCAUGGGGCACAGACACAUACUUGCUGUAAUUCACCUAAUCUAACCUUUCAUUUAAACAACAAAGAAAUGAACCUCAGAGAAGGGAACUGACUUACUCAAGGUUAUACAGUGAACUAGGGGCAGAACUGGGACCAGUGGGUUUUCUCAUUGACAGUCCAGCUGCCAAGACUGCCAAUCAGACUUAAGUAUGUUCUUCCCACCUCAGGAUUUCCACUGUUUACCUCACCGAGGUAACCUAGACCAUUAGAGGCUGUAGGUUCUAACCCUAGCUGUGGCGCUGUGUAGCAUUAAACAAGUUGACUAAUCUUUUUGUGCUAACAGAUAAAUCUGCUUCCCCUAGAUAGCUUCCUUUAUCUCAAAGAAAAUGCACACUUUGUGCGUUAUCAACUAGACUAAGAAAUGUCAGCCAAGAAGGUCAAAAUGAAAGAAACAUGGUGGCUUAGCAUAGCCUUGACAGGCAGCCGGAGUUGAGAUGGGCAUGGGGAAAGAGCAAGGAGUCCAUGGAAAUUCUGCUUGUUAGUGAUGGUGAACUGGAGUGGCCUGGAUAUUUGAAUCAGCACCCUGGGUUUUUCAGCAGAUACUGGGGUUUUUCAGAUAUUUCAGAACUACACAGUCCUCCCAUGUUAUCAUCCUGUUGACUUUCCACAGGUGUGAAACCUGAGUCAGGGAGGCUGAAUACCUUGGCCAAAGUCGCACAACAGAGCAAGGGACGGAGUCCCGAUUGCAAAGCUGCCGUGUCAGCUCUGAAGCCUGUGCAUCUGACCACCAGGUAACACCAGAAUUGUGAGCCUGUAAAGGUGCAGUGUUGGGAAAUAAAUUUAUAAAAAUCGGCCGGGGCCAGUUGGGGAGGCUCUGAGAGGCCAGAUUAAGGAACUUGGGGCAUUGUUGUCUUCUGGGCAGCAGGGAGCCACUAGAUGGGAAAGACAGGCAGAGUCUGCUCCUCCUUCCCCCCUCCAAUGAAGUUUUACUUGUUUUUUUAUUAAAAAAAAUUUUUUUUUUAAAUCUUCAUUUGUCCCUGAGAGAGAGACAGAACAUGAGCUGGGGAGGAACAGAGAGAAAGGGAGACACAGAAUCCGACGCAGGCUCCAGGCUCCGAUCUGUCAGCACAGAGCCCGACGCGAGGCUCGAACCCACAAACCGUGGGAUCGUGACCUGAGCCAAAGUUGGCCGCCCAACCGACUGAGCCACCCAGGGGCCCCUAAAUGGAUAUUUUACUUGUAAGUCAAGUGGGCAUACACAUGGUAAUUGCUUCCGCCCCAUUUCCACGGGCUCUCGUGCCGCUUCACCCCCUCUGAGAGGGAUAUCGCUGUUCCCGCUGCACUCUUCCAAUUUCUUUUAAAAAUAAAAUAAAAAUUAUUUAAAAGCCUC